UGCAGAAUCCCGUGAACCAUCGAGUCUUUGAACGCAAGUUGCGCCCGAAGCCAUUAGGUUGAGGGCACGCCUGCCUGGGUGUCACAC
rnacentral:rRNA from 2 species